rnacentral:rRNA from 1 species
UACAGGGGAUGCAAGUGUUAUCCGGAAUUAUUGGGCGUAAAGCGUCUGCAGGUUGAUAUUUAAGUCUUUUGUUAAAUCUCUAGGCUUAACCUGGAAUCUGCAAAAGAAACUAUUUAUCUUGAGUAUGGUAGAGGUAAAGGGAAUUUCCAGUGGAGCGGUGAAAUGCGUAGAUAUUGGAAAGAACACCAACAGCGAAGGCACUUUACUGGGCCAGUACUGACACUCAGAGACGAAAGCUAGGGGAG